UCCCGUUUAGCUCAGCUGGUAGAGCGCGUCACUAGUACGGGCGCCUAGCGCAUCGUGUAAUGACGAGGUCAGUCGUUCAAGUCGGCUAAUGGGAA